rnacentral:rRNA from 1 species
GAUGAACGCUGGCGGCGUGCCUAAUACAUGCAAGUCGAGCGAACAGACGAGGAGCUUGCUCCUCUGACGUUAGCGGCGGACGGGUGAGUAACACGUGGAUAACCUACCUAUAAGACUGGGAUAACUUCGGGAAACCGGAGCUAAUACCGGAUAAUAUAUUGAACCGCAUGGUUCAAUAGUGAAAGACGGUUUUGCUGUCACUUAUAGAUGGAUCCGCGCCGCUUUAGCUAGUUGGUAAGGUAACGGCUUACCAAGGCAACGAUGCGUAGCCGACCGGAGAGGGUGAUAGGCCACACUGGAACUGGGACACGGUCCAGACUCCUACGGGAGGCAGCAGUAGGGAAUCUUCCGCAAUGGGCGAAAGCUUGACGGAGCAACGCCGCGUGAGUGAUGAAGGUCUUCGGAUCGUAAAACUCUGUUAUUAGGGAAGAACAAAUGUGUAAGUAACUAUGCACGUCUUGACGGUACCUAAUCAGAAAGCCACGGCUAACUACGUG